UGCAGUCGAGCGGUAGCACAGAGGAGCUUGCUCCUUGGGUGACGAGCGGCGGACGGGUGAGUAAUGUCUGGGAAACUGCCUGAUGGAGGGGGAUAACUACUGGAAACGGUAGCUAAUACCGCAUAACCUCGCAAGAGCAAAGAGGGGGACCUUAGGGCCUCUCGCCAUCAGAUGUGCCCAGAUGGGAUUAGCUAGUAGGUGAGGUAAUGGCUCACCUAGGCGACGAUCCCUAGCUGGUCUGAGAGGAUGACCAGCCACACUGGAACUGAGACACGGUCCAGACUCCUACGGGAGGCAGCAGUGGGGAAUAUUGCACAAUGGGCGCAAGCCUGAUGCAGCCAUGCCGCGUGUGUGAAGAAGGCCUUCGGGUUGUAAAGCACUUUCAGCGAGGAGGAAGGCGGUAAGGUUAAUAACCUUAUCGAUUGACGUUACUCGCAGAAGAAGCACCGGCUAACUCCGUGCCAGCAGCCGCGGUAAUACGGAGGGUGCAAGCGUUAAUCGGAAUGACUGGGCGUAAAGCGCACGCAGGCGGUCUGUUAAGUUGGAUGUGAAAUCCCCGGGCUUAACCUGGGAACUGCAUUCAAAACUGACAGGCUAGAGUCUUGUAGAGGGGGGUAGAAUUCCAGGUGUAGCGGUGAAAUG
rnacentral:rRNA from 1 species